GACGAGGGGUCCAAGCGUUGUUCGGAAUCAUUGGGCGUAAAGCGGGUGUAGGUGGCUCUAUAAGUCAGAAGUGAAAGCCCGGGGCUCAACUCCGGAAUUGCCUUUAAAACUGCAUCGCUAGAAUUGUGGAGAGGUAAGUGGAAUUCCGAGUGUAGAGGUGAAAUUCGUAGAUAUUCGGAAGAACACCAGUGGCGAAGGCGACUUACUGGACACAUAUUGACGCUGAGGUGCGAAAGCGUGGGGAGCAAACAGG
rnacentral:rRNA from 1 species